UACGUAGGCAGCGAGCGUUGUUCGGAGUUACUGGGCGUAAAGGGUGUGUAGGCGGUUGUUUAAGUUUGGUGUGAAAUCUCCCGGCUCAACUGGGAGGGUGCGCCGAAUACUGAAUGACUUGGAGUGCGGGAGAGGAGAGUGGAAUUCCUGGUGUAGCGGUGAAAUGCGUAGAUAUCAGGAGGAACGCCGGUGGUGUAGACGGCUCUCUGGACCGUAACUGACGCUGAGACACGAAAGCGUGGGUAGCAAACAGG
rnacentral:rRNA from 1 species